rnacentral:rRNA from 1 species
CCUACGGGAGGCAGCAGUGAGGAAUAUUGGUCAAUGGACGUGAGUCUGAACCAGCCAAGUAGCGUGAAGGAUGACUGCCCUAUGGGUUGUAAACUUCUUUUAUAUGGGAAUAAAACGUUCCACGUGUGGUGUUUUGUAUGUACCAUAUGAAUAAGGAUCGGCUAACUCCGUGCCAGCAGCCGCGGUAAUACGGAGGAUCCGAGCGUUAUCCGGAUUUAUUGGGUUUAAAGGGAGCGUAGGUGGAUUGUUAAGUCAGUUGUGAAAGUUUGUGGCUCAACCGUAGAAUUGCAGUUGAAACUGGCAGUCUUGAGUACAGUAGAGGUAGGCGGAAUUCGUGGUGUAGCGGUGAAAUGCUUAGAGAUCACGAAGAACUCCGAUUGCGAAGGCAGUUCACUGGACUGCAACUGACGCUGAGGCUCGAAAGUGUGGGUAUCAAACAGGAUUAGAUACCCCUGUAGUC